AUUCUCGCUGCAGCAGCACAGAAACUACAUUUGGAAUGAUACAGAGAAGAUCCAGCAUGGCCUCUGCCAAAGGAGUCUGAAAACAAGCAGGAGCAGCUAUCUAAUUUC
rnacentral:snRNA from 1 species